rnacentral:rRNA from 1 species
AUGUCAAGCCAUCCAGAGAUGCUCGCCGGCGGCGUUCUCCGCGUCAUCGUGCACCAUGUGUACUACCUAGUCAUAGAGGAUACACUCCAGCAGGUGUUCGCGGCGUAUGGCGUGGUGGAAAUCUCAGUAUCCCAACGAAUCCACCAUGUGGAGGCGGUGGUUCAGUUUCGCACAAGACACGGGGCAGCGCAAGCCCUGGCCCUACAUGGCCGUUGCAUCUAUGAGCGUGCCUGCCUCCUCGACAUCCAGGAGGUUUUGCCGGAUUUACUUCCUGCCACCACCGCGGGGUGCCUAGGAGGGGCGUCGGCAGCUCAUGUCACGGAGCUUCGGGCCAUGUUGGAGGAGGCCCUCGCAAGGAUGGAGGCCUUAUCCACACCGGUUGCAUCUGUCGUAGCCCCACCAUUGUCAGGCUCCGCAUCAGUGAACAUCGAGGAUGCCAGCGAUAGGCAGGGGGCGGCCAUCGCAGGUCCACACAUGGAGGUCAUCAAGCAAAAGGCCAACAGCGUGGAAACUACAGGAUCAACCUCGCCCUCUACAGGCAUGUUUUUGGCAAUUGCAGCACCUGCAGAAACUCUGCCAGCCCCUGAGUUGGCGACACUGAUGCCCAACACAUGUUCGACAGAUUGCUCCCAGGAAGACGCCAACAAGAUACUGACGAGGAAUAGAUUGGGAAGAGUGGUGUCAUGCAACCACUAUGGCCACCACGAGCACCACCAAGUGCAUGGCAGUUACAAUCCAUGGAUGAGCAAGAGCAGUGGAGCCAGGGACAUACCACCGUCGACACAAUACGCUAUUGGUCCUGGAAAGAGUGACAAGUUUCUGGACCUUUAUGAGGGAAGUGGAUCAAGUUGGAGGUUAACAAAAUGUGGAACACCUGGAAACAUUGGCAAUUUUGAAGAUAUUCUAUUUGCAAACAACGACAUGCAAUAUUCCCCGGUUAUUGUUGCAUUCUUUCCUGUCUUCUGUGAACGUCAGCUGUAUGUAUGGCCUAGUUAUGUGGAUAUGACGAACCGAAAGCUUGGGUUGGCUGAGUUCCCUGAAGAUAGUAGAUUUGUAAAUAUGGAAUCAGCCCUUGUUGCAUUAGGUUGCAAGGAUUGUCUUCUUCUGGCAGAUUUUGAAAAAUCAAUAGAUUUGCAAGCUCUUCAGGAUGCUAUUAUCAAUUGCAGUAUUCUUCUGACUAAAAGAAAGAAGGCUGAAUUUAAAUCUAGGGAUCUUGUGCAGGAUCUUGUUAGAAUAAUCAGAAGUUAUGUCGAGCCAGUUCGUGACCUCCUAUCUCAGUUUGACUAUACUUUGGGUGCCCUUGGAGCUCUAGUAUUAUAUGCUGAGUUGCUAGCAGAUGAUACUAAUUAUGGAAAUUACACGAUUGAGAAAUACAAUUUGGACUGCUAUAUACGACUUGAUUCUGCAGGGGUGCUAGCAUUGGAUAUUGUUGAAGGAAAAACUGAUGCAAACAAAAAUAGGUUGUUUGGUUCGAUAAACAGAACUCACACUGCUAGGAUGGGGCAUCGAUCUUUCGCGGAAGAUUCCGAGCUUCGUCAGGGUCUUAGGCAACAACUUAAAAGGAUGUCUGAUAUUGAUCGCCUAACACAUGCUCUCUCUAUUGACAUCGAUCAAGUAGACAAUGCUGAGUACAGGCUAUCUCCACCUCGUUUAUGGCCACCAUGGGACACAUAUGAUCCUUCUGUCAGCCAUGUGCAAGAAUGGUUUGAAGCCGCCAGGAACAUGAAAAACCUGGAUAGAAGUGAUUGUCACCGUUCAGCUUUAGAGGCAUGCAAGUUUCUUUUGCCAUUAGAUUCUGACGACCCAAAGGGUGCUCUGUUUUGCAUGGAGUCCUUUGCUCUAAGAUCGAAGCAGUACAAAUGGUUGGAACAGUUUGCUGAAGAAUGCCAAUGUGAUAGCUCCCUUUGGUUGUUCCCAAAUUUCUCCUUUUCACGUGAUGUGGCAUCUGAAGAUGUUUCUAAUGAUGUUGACAAGUCAACAGUUGUAGAGCAAGCAUUCAUGCUUCACCCUCUGCUGCUUUCCAAGAUGGUUGACAAGGCUCUUCUGAACGACUCUUCAUGGACCCAAAUACUUGAGAAUGUUAGUUUCCACACGGCACAAGCUACAUAUGCAAUCCGGAGAGCACGGGAAAGGCGGCGAAUGAAUGAAUCGUCUUCAACCUUCUCGUCCUCUGCUCUCGUUCCUCUCCCCCGGCUGCUACUGUUGUGCUUGCGGGCAGUGAGCUUCACCUUCCAGAACUCAUCUCGCUGGGACCGGGCUGCGGCGGGGCUGGCCGCGUCUGGUGCAUCUGAGGCCUUCAGCGUGAGGAGAUCCCGGAGCAGAGCAACUCAUGUGCACAAGCUAAUUCGGCUGCGCGGGGAUGGUCGGCGCAUCCGAGGCCGCUGGCAUGAGGAGGCCUGGAGUAGAGUGUCCCGCUAG